rnacentral:rRNA from 1 species
ACCACUUUAAUUUGAUGGGGUGAGUAAGCAUUAAGUAUAUUUAAAUAUGGAUUUUAUUUUGAUAAGUUUCCAGUUUAAAAUUUUAAACAAUAUGUGCAAAUAUAAUUUAGAUAGUUUAAUAAUUUAGGUAAAAUAGGUGCCAGCAACCGCGGUCAUACCUAAUAAACAAGUUUAUUAAAGUAGUAAGUACAAUUUCAUUUCGAUAUUAGUUAAUAAGUAGUGAAAUACUAAUAAUUUUAUUACACCUACAAAAUGAAUAACAAUUAAAUCCAUAAGUAAAACUAGGAUUAGAGACCCUAUUAUUAUGGAAUCUGACAACUACUUACUAAGGAGUAAUAAUAUAAUUUAAAACUUAAAUGUUAUGGCGGCUAACUAAAACAAUUAGGGGAACUUACCAUAUAAUUGAUAGCCACCAAGCUUAAUCUAACUUACUAUAAUAAUUUGUAUACCGUUGUCCUUAUAAACUUCUCAAAGGGGUUUAUAGCCAUAUACUAUUUAAUGACAAAUCAAGGUGCAGUUGAUUAGUAAGAAUUAAGGUGAGUUACAAUAACUUUUUAUUUCGGAGUGAACUAUGAAAUAAUUCAGGAAGAUGGACUUAAAAGUACUUUAUAAAUUUAAACAUUUUAGAAGAAUAUUUAUUUAUUUAGUGUA